CCACAUGAUGAAGAACCUUUUUGAUUGACUGCAGAGAUGGAACUCAAGCAGGACAGAGCAUUAAAAAGGUGAAGGAGAUUGGAAAUGACUGCAACCUGAUGAGCUUUGAGAAGUUCUAGAGUCAAGUCCUUGCCAGAGCUUGCAGCCAGAUGGUCCAGCUAUGGGUCCCUGAAGUGGGGGAAAAACAACCUUUGAGACCCAUCCUAGUGGUAGGUUCUAAUCAAGGAUUUGUAAUUAAACUCACCAUGAACCCCCUCCUGAAAGAAAAUACAUCAGUUGGCUGAACACAAAAUUAAACCCAGAGUCAUUUUUUUUACCUGAAUCGAAGUUUUUUUUUGUUUAAUACACCUAAUGAAAGUUUGA